GGCCCUGUCGUCUAGAGGCCUAGGACACGGCCCUUUCAAGGCUGUAACACGGGUUCGAAUCCCGUCAGGGUCACCA
rnacentral:tRNA from 1 species